rfam:Oryza glaberrima chromosome 12 Oglab12_0209_28, whole genome shotgun sequence.
AAUAAAUGCAGCCGUGAAUAUCCGUACCCAACAUUUGAUUGCCCGUUUUAUUUAAAAAAAUUAUGAAAAAUUUAAAAAUAUUUAGUCACACAUAAAGUACUAUUCAUGUUUUAUCAUCUAAUAGCAAUAAAAAUACUAAUCAUAAAAAAUUUUCAAAUAAGACGAACGGUCAAACGUUAAACGUGAAUAGUGCAAAACUGUACUUAUU